rnacentral:rRNA from 1 species
CAGUAGCCACGGUAAAACGAAGGGUGCAAGCGUUAAUCGGAAUUACUGGGCGUAAAGCGUGCGUAGGCGGUUUGUUAAGUCUGCUGUGAAAUCCCCGGGCUCAACCUGGGAAUGGCAGUGGAUACUGGCAAGCUAGAGUGUGUCAGAGGAUGGUGGAAUUCCCGGUGUAGCGGUGAAAUGCGUAGAGAUCGGGAGGAACAUCAGUGGCGAAGGCGGCCAUCUGGGACAACACUGACGCUGAGGCACGAAAGCGUGGGGAGCAAACAGGAUUAGAUACCCCUGUAGUCCCUGUCUCUUAUAA